AGUGAACGCUGGCGGUAGGCCUAACACAUGCCAGUCGAACGGCAGCACAGUAAGAGCUUGCUCUUACGGGUGGCGAGUGGCGGACGGGUGAUGAAUCCAUCGGAAUCUACUUUUUCGUGGGGGAUAACGUAGGGAAACUUACGCUAAUACCGCAUACGACCUACGGGUGAAAUCAGGGGAUCUUCGGACCUUGCGCGAUUGAAUGAGCCGAGGUCGGAUUAGCUAGUUGGCGGGGUAAAGGCCCACCAAGGCGACGAUCCGUAGCUGGUCUGAGAGGAUGAUCAGCCACACUGGAAGUGAGACAAGGUGCAGAAGCCUACGGGAGGCAGCAGUGGGGAAUAUUGGAGAAUGGGCGCAAGCCUGAUCCAGCCAUACCGCGUGGGUGAAGAGGGCCUUCGGGUUGUAAAGCCCUUUUGUUGGGAAAGAAAAGCAGCAGGUUAAUACCCCGCUGUUCUGACGGUACCCAAAGAAUAAGCACCGGCUAACUUCGUG
rnacentral:rRNA from 1 species